CCUACGGGCGGCAGCAGUGGGGAAUAUUGGACAAUGGGGGCAACCCUGAUCCAGCCAUGCCGCGUGUGUGAAGAAGGCCCUCGGGUUGUAAAGCACUUUCAGUGAGGAAGAACGCCUGGUGGUUAAUACCCAUCAGGAAAGACAUCACUCACAGAAGAAGCACCGGCUAACUCCGUGCCAGCAGCCGCGGUAAUACGGAGGGUGCGAGCGUUAAUCGGAAUUACUGGGCGUAAAGCGCGCGUAGGUGGCUUGAUAAGCCGGUUGUGAAAGCCCCGGGCUCAACCUGGGAACGGCAUCCGGAACUGUCAAGCUAGAGUGCAGGAGAGGAAGGUAGAAUUCCCGGUGUAGCGGUGAAAUGCGUAGAGAUCGGGAGGAAUACCAGUGGCGAAGGCGGCCUUCUGGACUGACACUGACACUGAGGUGCGAAAGCGUGGGUAGCAAACGGGAUUAGAUACCCUUGUAGUC
rnacentral:rRNA from 1 species